GGGGCGUGGCCAAGUGGUAAGGCAACGGGUUUUGGUCCCGCUAUUCGGAGGUUCGAAUCCUUCCGUCCCAG
rnacentral:tRNA from 88 species